AGGAUCACGUGGGAACAUGCCUCGUGGUGGGGGACAACAGCGCGAAAGCGCUGCUAAUCCCGCAUACGCUCGCGCAAGCGAGGAAAGCGGUAACGCGCCGCGAGAGUGGCCCGCGGCCCAUCAGGUCGUAGGUGGGGUAAUGGCCUACCUAGCCGAUGACGGGUAACUGGUCUGUGAGGACAGACAGCCAGACUGGGACUGAGACACGGCCCAG
rnacentral:rRNA from 1 species